rnacentral:rRNA from 1 species
AGAGACAGCAGUCGCCGCGGUAAUACGAAGGGUGCAAGCGUUAAUCGGAAUUACUGGGCGUAAAGCGUGCGUAGGCGGCUUGGUAAGUUAGAGGUGAAAGCCUGGAGCUCAACUCCAGAAUUGCCUUUAAGACUGCCGAGCUAGCAGGUGAGAGAGGUAAGUGGAAUUCCGAGUGUAGAGGUGAAAUUCGUAGAUAUUCGGAAGAACACCAGUGGCGAAGGCGGCUUACUGGCUCAUACUGGACGCUGAGGUGCGAAAGCGUGGGGAGCAAACAGGAUUAGAUACCCCCGUAGUCCCUGUCUCUUAUAC